GUCGGACGGCUGGUCGCCAUUGUACAUUUUUCCUAGAAUUUGGAAAUUCCUUAGCUAGUUUAUUUAUUUAGGUUAUCUCUCUUCUAAUUGUGCUGCUGAGUAUUGUUAAAUAUUAGUUGUAGCCAUUUCGAUUUCACAAAACAUUUAUCCCUCUCAAACAGUAUCGAUAUUUGUUCUUGUCCAGCCCAGAUUUUGAUUCAUUGCUCAAAGUGACUUCACAUAGAAAUUUUCCAAAAAUAUUUUUGUUCUGUUUUCAUUGUUAUUCAGAAUAGUCAAUCAACCAAAAAGUUAUUUGUGUUAAUCUGUUCUUUGAACAGUUCUAUUCUAUUCAGAUUCUUUGACUUCAGAAGUUGCAGACGGUGAGGUGUUGAGAUUUCUCAGAUCUGCCAGAUUGACCAGGACUUGUGUUUAUCACCAAAUUAUUUCAUGUUAUGGCGCGAAUGGGUCCGUUAGUGACGAAAUUUCUGCCAUUUCUUCUAAAGACACUGAGCGGAAAGGUUUCUCAUUCUUUAUUAUUAUGGAUAUGUGGAUUACAUUUGCUAUUUUCAAGUUGGAAAACUUGACAACUACAAAUUCCUUUGUAAGAUUUAUCAAGCCAGGUGAAGUCUGCGCUUCUUUGUUGCAGUCUAAUGUGCACAUGGAUUGGUUGCAGUCAUCCAGUGAAAGGUGUGAUUAAAUUGAGCUGUUGCAUGCAGUCUUUGGUGCUGAUGUUGUCCUGGAGUGUGGGAGAGUUCCAUGCAUGCUUCAAGUCUUCUGGGAUCAGCCAUAUCUGAGUUGACGCUGGAUCAUGCUGCAUUGUGGUUGCCGAAAUGUUGGACAUCUAGUAGAACUGCAAGAAGGCUCCUUGAAAUGGUUUAUGUUUACGUAGCAGUGAUGUUGCUGUCCAAAUAUGGCAUGUUGUUGCAGCCUAUA